UACGUAGGCAGCGAGCGUUGUUCGGAGUUACUGGGCGUAAAGGGUGUGUAGGCGGUUGUUUAAGUUUGGUGUGAAAUCUCCCGGCUCAACUGGGAGGGUGCGCCGAAUACUGAAUGACUCCGAGUGCGGGAGAGGAGAGUGGAAUUCCUGGUGUAGCGGUGAAAUGCGUAGAUAUCAGGAGGAACACCGGUGGUGUAGACGGCUCUCUGGACCGUAACUGACGCUGAGACACGAAAGCGUGGGUAGCAAACAGG
rnacentral:rRNA from 1 species